AACUAACUUUGUUCUUGGUAUAAGCUUUUGUGUGCAUGCACACGUCUUCAGAUACACUGAAGAUACGCAGUGUAUCUGAAGAAGUAUGCAUGCACACGAAAGCUUAUACCAAGACUUCUUGAUGGAUU